UAGACGCUACGGACUUAAUUGGAUUGAGCCUUGGUAUGGAAACCUACUAAGUGAUAACUUUCAAAUUCAGGGAAACCCCGGAAUUAAAAAAAAUGGGCAAUCCUGAGCCAAAUCCUGUUUUCUCAAAACAAAAGAAAGGUUUAGAAAAAAAAAAAGGAUAGGUCCAGAGACUCAAUGGAAGCUGUUCUAACGAAUGGGGGCAUUUGUAGAGAAAUCCUUUCAUCAAAACAUCAGAAAGGAUUAAGGAGAAACCUAUCUAUUAAAGAAGAUAUAAAAAAAGAGUAUAUAAAAAUUAAAUGAUUAAUGAUGGUUCGAAUCUCUAGAUGUUUUUUUAUAUGCAAAAUAAAAGAAGAAUCGGUGUUAAUUCAUUCGACAUUGAUGAAAAAAAAAUAUAAUUUUGAUUCAUCAAAUCAUUCACUUCAUAGUCCGAUAAACCUUUUAAAGAACUGAUCAAUCGGACAAGAAUAAAGAUAGAGUCCCCUUCUACAUGUCAAUACUGGCAACAAUGAAAUUUAUAGUAAGAGGAAAAUCCGUUGACUUUUAAAAUCGUGAGGGUUCAAGUCCCUCUAUCCCCAAAUAAGCUUAUUUGACUCCCAAAAUCGUUAUCCUACCCUAUUUCUUUCCGUUACAAAUUGCUUUAUUUUUAUGAUUCUUUCAUAAACGUAGUUGGGUGUAAAUGACUUUAUCUUCUCCCAUGUGAUAUAGAAUAACAUCCGAAUUAGCAAAGAAUCCUGAUUUAAAUGACUCACAAUCAAUAGCUUUACGAAUACUGAAACUUAAAAAGUAGUCUUUUUGAAGAUCAAAUAAAUUUAAGUACUUGGAGAAAAAUUUUUAAUCCCUCCUUUCCCUUUAAUUGACAUAGACCCCAGCCAUCAACUAAAAUAAUAAAAUGCGUAUGGGUUACUACGCUGGCAAUGGUCGGGAUAGCUCAGCUGUAGAG
rnacentral:misc_RNA from 1 species